CCCAGACCCAGUACUGCUCCUGCUCUGUAUCGUGGCUUCCCUGUUUAGCACAAGCACUGGUAGCGAUGACAACCAUGUGUGGCUUCUCGGAGAGGACUCAGGUUACCAUGACAACUACGAUACUAUCUACUCGUCAUGUGACACAACUAGCAUCGUAGCACUGACAAAGGACAGGCUUGAUGUUGACUACUACACUGCUGUGGAACAGCUGAGAAUGAUUAGAUUCAAUUUUCCUCUAUAGCGGUUGAUUUUGUGGUCACCCGAAUGAUUAACGAGGAACAACAGGACGAAGUGUUUGUGGCCGU